UACCCCAUUAAAUUGACAACACUAGUGAAACUGUUUACCUCAUGUAAAAAAUCGAAAUUGCCCUUAGGUAGAGAGGAUAAUAAUAUAUUUUUCUUCUAUCCUUAGGUGAUUGUUAUAUCGCUUAAAGUUAUUUUAGUUCUUUUCAAAUUUUUUUUUGAUAUAACAUUUGGAUUCUAUUUAAAGUUAAUGAUCGACUAACGUUCUAUUUAGAUUCUAAUGUUUUAUUCAUUCUUUAUUCAAUUUCCAAAUCAAGCAUUGAUCA
rnacentral:lncRNA from 1 species